GAUCAAAUGGCAGAGUGGUUAUGCGAAGGAUUGCAAAUUCUUUUACGCUGGUUCGAUUCCAGCUUUGAUCU
rfam:Sphaeroforma arctica JP610 cont1.8687, whole genome shotgun sequence.